rnacentral:miRNA from 1 species
AUUUUUUAAGGGCUGGGGUGGUAGUAUGAUCUGGAAUCACAAAUUUUCUCUUAGUGAGACUGCCUGAAAUAAUUGAAAUGAAUUAAUUAAAUAGUUCUCAGAUCAUACUAUCACCACACUCCUUAAAACA